AGCCCGGUGAAACACACCAAUUUGAAAAACUAAUGGAAUGCAUAGUCGAUAUAAAAAAUUGGAUGACGAGUAAUUUCUUACUGCUAAAUUCAGAAAAAAAACAGAGGUGUUAAUCAUAGGGCCUAAAAACUCUGCUUGUAAUAACCUAGAACACUGUCUAAGACUUGAUGGUUGCUCUGUCAAUUCUUCGUCAUCAUUUAGGAACCUAGGUGUGCUACUUGAUCGCAAUCUUUCCUUAGAAAGCCACGUUUCUAGCAUUUGUAAAACUGCAUUUUUCUAUCUCAAAAAUAUAUCUAAAUUACGGCCUAUGCUCUCAAUGUCAAAUGCAGAAAUGUUAAUCCAUGCAUUUAUGACUUCAAGGUUAGACUAUUGUAAUGCUUUAUUGGGUGGUUGUUCUGCACGCUUGGUAAACAAACUACAGCUAGUCCAAAAUGCAGCAGCAAGAGUUCUUACUAGAACCAGGAAGUAUGACCAUAUUAGCCCGGUCCUGUCCACACUGCACUGGCUCCCUAUCAAACAUAGUAUAGAUUUUAAAAUAUUGCUUAUUACUUAUAAAGCCCUGAAUGGUUUAGCACCUCAGUAUUUGAAUGAGCUCCUUUUACAUUAUACUCCUCUACGUCCGCUACGUUCUCAAAACUCAGGCAAUUUGAUAAUACCUAGAAUAUCAAAAUCAACUGCGGGCGGCAGAUCCUUUUCCUAUUUGGCGCCUAAACUCGAAUAACCUACCUAACAUUGUUCGGGAGGCAGACACACUCUUGCAGUUUAAAUCUAGAUUAAAGACCCAUCUCUUUAACCUGGCAUACACAUAACAUACUAAUAUGCUUUUAAUAUCCAAAUCCGUUAAAGGAUUUUUAGGCUGCAUUAAUUAGGUAAACCGGAACUGGAAACACUUCACAUAACACCGUACUUUCUACAUCAUUAGAAGAAUGGCAUCUACGCUAAUAUUUGUCUGUUUCUCUCUUGUUCCGAGGUCACCGUGGCCACGAGAUCCAGUACGUAUCCCGACCAGAUGGUGGAUCAGCACCUAGAAAGGACCUCUACUGCCCUGAAAGACAGCGGAGACCAGGACAACUAGAGCCCCAGAUACAGAUCCCCUGUAAAGACCUUGUCUCAGAGGAGCACCAGGACAAGACCACAGGAAACAGAUGAUUCUUCUGCACAAUCUGACUUUGCUGCAGCCUGGAAUUGAACUACUGGUUUUCGUCUGGUCAGAGGAGAACUGACCCCCCAACUGAGCCUGGUUUCUCCCAAGGUUUUUUCCUCCAUUCUGUCACCGAUGGAGUUUCGGUUCCUUGCCGCUGUCGCCUCUGGCUUGCUUAGUUGGGGUCACUUCAUCUACAGCGAUAUCAUUGACUUGAUUGCAAAUAAAAACAGACACUAUUUCAACUGAACAGAGAUGACAUAACUGAAUUCAAUGAUGAACUGCCUUUAACUAUCAUUUUGCAUUAUUGAGACACUGUUUUCCAAAUGAAUGUUGUUCAGUGCUUUGACGCAAUGUAUUUUGUUUAAAGCACUAUAUAAAUAAAGGUUAUUGAUUGA